GUGGGGAAUCUUGCGCAAUGGGCGGAAGCCUGACGCAGCAACGCCGCGUGGGGGAGGACGGCCUUCGGGUUGUAAACCUCUUUCGCCACUGACGAAGCCGCUGCACGUGUGUGGUGGUGACGGUAGGUGGAGAAGAAGCACCGGCUGACUACGUGCCAGCAGCCGCGGUAAUACGUAGGGUGCGAGCGUUGUCCGGAUUUAUUGGGCGUAAAGAGCUCGUAGGCGGUUUGUCGCGUCGGGCGUGAAAACCUGCAGCUUAACUGUGGGCGUGCGGUCGAUACGGGCAGACUUGAGUUCGGCAGGGGAGACUGGAAUUCCUGGUGUAGCGGUGAAAUGCGCAGAUAUCAGGAGGAACACCGGUGGCGAAGGCGGGUCUCUGGGCCGGUACUGACGCUGAGGAGCGAAAGCGUGGGGAGCGAACAGGAUUAGAAACCCUUGUAGUCC
rnacentral:rRNA from 1 species